CGGGAUGUAGCUCAGUUUGGUAGAGCACCACGUUCGGGACGUGGGGGUCGCAGGUUCAAAUCCUGUCAUCCCGAUCA
rnacentral:tRNA from 1 species